rnacentral:rRNA from 1 species
CCUACGGGAGGCUGCAGUGGGGAAUAUUGCACAAUGGGGGAAACCCUGAUGCAGCAACGCCGCGUGAAGGAAGACGGUUUUCGGAUUGUAAACUUCUGUUCUUAGUGAAGAAUGAUGACGGUAGCUAAGGAGCAAGCCACGGCUAACUACGUGCCAGCAGCAGCGGUAAUACGUAGGUGGCAAGCGUUGUCCGGACUUACUGGGUGUAAAGGGGGCGCAGGCGGGACGCCAAGUCAGCUGUGAAAACUACGGGCGUAACUUGUUGACUGCAGUUGAUACUGGUUUGCUUGAGUGAAGUAGAGGUGGGCAGAAUUCCGAGUGUAGCGGAGAAAUGCGUAGAUAUUCGGAGGAACACCGGUGGCGAAUGCGGCCAACUGGGCUUUAACUGACGCUGAGGCUCGAAAGUGUGGGGAGCAAACAGGAUUAGAUACCCGAGUAGUC